rnacentral:rRNA from 1 species
ACGGCUCAGUAACACGUGGACAACCUGCCCUAAGGAGGGGGAUAACCCCGGGAAACUGGGGAUAAUACCCCAUAGAUUACAGAUGCUGGAAUGCUUUGUAGUCGAAAGGUCCGCCGCCUUAGGAUGGGUCUGCGGCCGAUUAGGUUGUUGUUGGGGUAACGGCCCAACAAGCCUGUAAUCGGUACGGGUUGUGGGAGCAAGAACCCGGAGAUGGAUUCUGAGACACGAAUCCAGGCCCUACGGGGCGCAGCAGGCGCGAAAACUUUACAAUGCGAGCAAUCGUGAUAAGGGGACCCCGAGUGCCUGUAUACGCAGGCUGUUCAGGUGUCUAAAAAACACCUGGAGAAAGGGCCGGGCAAGACCGGUGCCAGCCGCCGCGGUAAUACCGGCGGCUCGAGUGGUGGCCACUAUUACUGGGCUUAAAGCGUCCGUAGCUGGGUUGUUAAGUCUCCUGGGAAAUCUGCCGGCUUAACCGUCAGGCGUUCAGGAGGUACUGGCAAUCUAGGGACCGGGGGAGGUGAGAGGUACUCCGGGGGUAGGAGUGAAAUCCUGUAAUCCUCGGGGGACCACCUGUGGCGAAGGCGUCUCACCAGAACGGCUCCGACAGUGAGGGACGAAAGCUGGGGGAGCAAACCGGAUUAGAUACCCGGGUAGUCCCAGCUGUAAACGAUGCGCGUUAGGUGUGUCGGUAACCACGAGUUACCGAGGUGCCGAAGGGAAACUGUUAAACGCGCCGCCUGGGAAGUACGGUCGCAAGGCUGAAACUUAAAGGAAUUGGCGGGGGAGCAC